rnacentral:rRNA from 1 species
CUACGGGCUGCUGCAGUGGGGAAUAUUGCACAAUGGGCGCAAGCCUGAUGCAGCCAUGCCGCGUGUAUGAAGAAGGCCUUCGGGUUGUAAAGUACUUUCAGCGGGGAGGAAGGGAGUAAAGUUAAUACCUUUGCUCAUUGACGUUACCCGCAGAAGAAGCACCGGCUAACUCCGUGCCAGCAGCCGCGGUAAUACGGAGGGUGCAAGCGUUAAUCGGAAUUACUGGGCGUAAAGCGCACGCAGGCGGUUUGUUAAGUCAGAUGGGAAAUCCCCGGGCUCAACCUGGGAACUGCAUCUGAUACUGGCAAGCUUGAGUCUCGUAGAGGGGGGUAGAAUUCCAGGUGUAGCGGUGAAAUGCGUAGAGAUCUGGAGGAAUACCGGUGGCGAAGGCGGCCCCCUGGACGAAGACUGACGCUCAGGUGCGAAAGCGUGGGGAGCAAACAGGAUUAGAUACCCUAGUAAUC